UUGUAGUCAAAAUUAAGCCAGUCAUGCUCUUUUCUCCAGGAAGUGUGGGUUCAAAGUCUGUAGACAGCUGUCUCCUCUGUAGUACACACCACAUGUUGCCAAUGUAGGAUGCCUGAGGGACAUUGGACAAAGUC